UACAGAGGGUGCGAGCGUUAAUCGGAUUUACUGGGCGUAAAGCGUGUGUAGGUGGCUACCUAAGUCGAUUGUGAAAUCCCUGGGCUCAACCUGGGAAUUGCAGUCGAUACUGGGGAGCUCGAGCUCGGUAGAGGACGGCGGAAUUCCCGGUGUAGCGGUGAAAUGCGUAGAUAUCAGGAGGAACACCGAUGGCGAAGGCAGGUCUCUGGGCAUUAACUGACGCUGAGGAGCGAAAGCAUGGGGAGCGAACAGG
rnacentral:rRNA from 1 species